GAUGCAACCACUGCGGGGCUAGCUUUUGGUGGCGUGAGAGGGUAAAGUCACAGUCUGCUAUCACAAAAAGGCGUGUUAUAUACAACAAUUCUUAAGAAACAGUUAUUGGUGAAGGUUAUUAUUACAAGGCUGGGCUAUGACAAUUGCUGGUGGUUCCUGUCAUGCCGGGAAUGUCAUAAAACAACCUAUGUUUUUGGAAGGCAUUUCCGUUGCUCGGACCCCACUUGCCCUUCCGUUAAUGCAGAUCCCUCAUACUGCGUGUGCACCUUUGGAAGUGAUGGUGGAGCUGAAGCAGAAUUCAUGUGGUUUGAUAAAGCUGCAAGGAGUGUUGUUGGCAAGCCAGUCCUGCCUCUAAUUGAACACAAAUACCCAAGUUUUACAAGUGUGCAUGAUCUUGCC